rnacentral:lncRNA from 1 species
GAUGGUGCCAUCAAACAAUACUGGUUACUAUGUCUAGUGGAAAGCCAUUAUGCCAUGAAGAGUCUUGAAGUCCAGUAGCAAGACAAAAGGCAGGGUGACUGGUGAUGGCCCAGGAUGCAUUAGAUGACCUUCGCCUCUUCAAUGUCUGACCAAGAUCUAAGAGCUCCACAGAAUCUUCUUCCAAAGCCUUCAUGGCUAUUGGGACAAAUUGUUCUCAUCUGCCCAUUCCAUUGGAAUGUUAGAGGAUGUUGGAGACAGACCAUUUGUACUGACAGUGUGGAUGUGAAGCUCAAUGAAAAC